AAGAAUUUCUCCAUGCGGUCAGACCGAAGGCUUCUUUCCCUUUUUCCCUUACGUUUGUGCCUUGGAGAGCCUUUGCUUUUUUACAAAAAAGAAAGAAGAAGAGAAAAGAGGACUCAGUAAAACACUUGAACUUUACUCCUGUCUUCGACUUCUCUGAAUCCUUAUUGUUAGCUAUCUGUCAGUUUUUGCGUAAGUGCAACACGCAUCAGGGACAGAAUAGUA